CUCGUGUUCUGUGCUCUCAUCAGGACCUGUACCUACAGGAAGAUACUACUAUCACAGCGUCACAGUUCAGUGAAUUCAUGGAGUCUCCCCAGUGAUAUAUAUCACAGCGUCACAGCUCAGUGAAGUGUCAUGGAGUCUCCCCAGUGAUAAUAUCAGUGUCACAGCUCAGUGAAGUGUCAUGGAGUCUCCCCAGUGAUAAUAUCACAGUGUCACAGUCAGUGAAGUGUCAUGGGGUCUCCCCAGUGUAAUAUCCCAGCGUCACAGUCAGUGAAGUGUCAUGAGUCUCCCAGUGAUAAUAUCCCGCGUCAGUCAGUGAAGGUCAUGGAGUUCCCCAGUGUAAUAUCCACAGCGUCACAGUCAGUUGAGAGUCAUGGAGUCUCCCCAGUGAUAAUAUCCCAGCGUCACAGUUCAGUGAAGUGUCAUGGAGUCUCCCCAGUGAUAAUAUCCCAGCGUCACAGCUCAGUGUAGCAGCAGAGAGAAGAAUGACCAGCCUCACAAAGCCUGAAACCGAAACAGGUUAGCAUGAGGCAGUGUCUGAUGCCAACAGAUGGGUUCAAUGACAGAGGUGGGCUCUGGUUACUGCAUGGCUACUCAUGUUCCUCCAGGCACGCACGCACGCGCGCGCACACACACACACACACACACACACACACACACACAGACACACCUGUGAACUCAUCCAGACCUCAGGUCACAGUGUAUAGCCUUCAUUAUCCAUGCUUUUAUAUAUAUAGGCCUGCACUCACCUGCAUGCGCACAUAACAUUAGAGUGACAGGAUAGAUAACACCGCUAGAAUACUAAACAUUGAAUUCGCUCUAUUUAUGUUAUUAAACAUUCGCACACGACUGACUGCAGUACUUUCUAAUUUUAUGUUCGUUUCACAUGCAGGCCUAUGUGUUGUUUUUCUCUACAAGACAUCAAAGACUGACCCAGAAUAAAUUGGGUCAACGGGGUAAUGUACUUCAGCGCGAAGAGGUCUACCGACCUUAUGUUCCCAACSGCAACGCCAUUGUUAGGUUUAGAUCGGAAAGAACUGUCAGAGUUGUAUGAAGCGAAGGCCUCGCURUCGCUGAGAUGUUCUUURCGGUCCGUACAGGUUUGASGCAGUACAAUCAUGCGUUGUUGAUUACGUCAGAGCAGGUCACCUUCUCCUGUGAAAUCACAAUGGAAUCGGGAUCAAAGGCUGGAUUUCGCGGCAUUGAAUAUAUCCUCUCCUUUAGCUGUCCAUGGUGCUGAGUCUAUACGAGGAUCGGGUUGUUCCAGAAAACACAAAAACGGCUUUUGUCCAGGAGCAAUUGGCCUAGUUUGUGGAUCAAUUUCUCACAGUAUCAAGAAUAGAAGUAGGACUUUCUUUGUUUACUAAUUUAAUAAACUGGUCAAUGCUAAGGGUGUUUUAUUGAUUUGAACCUCGUCAACCUUGUUAAAAACAGGCGCUCUCCCGCUCCAUGUUUCAAUUCACACUGCGUCUAUCAAUAAGAACAUCGACCCGCCAUGAAAAACAACACACCUCUAGGCUACAAUGCCCUGCCCUUAUUCUAGAAUCUAGGCAACCGUUCCAUCCCCCGCAUCCCUCAUAAUCAAUACAAUUUCGGACGUGACGUGGGGGCGUCCAAAAUGGCACCCUAUAGCCUGCAUAAUGCACGACGGGCCCAGGUCAAAGUAGUACAYUACAAAGGAAAUAGGGUGCCAUUUUGGACGUAAACAUUGAGUGUUUGCCAAGAAGCCUUAGACGUGCCUGSUUUACCAACUGUUUUAAGGAAAUAUAUUCAGCAUUAGCCUUAAUUGGGAUUCUCGUGAGACCUUGUCCAAAGUCUCAGCAAAACACAGAGAUGUAUCACUUCAUGCAGCUGACCCAGAACUAAGCUCUCAUCCCGAAUAGCACCC
ensembl:lncRNA